UUCCAGCUGUUCUAACACCUCCUGCCUGCCAGUACUGACUCUUUAUGCAUGGGGGCUUCCGGCUUAUCUAUACUUCGAAGACAGUGAACUAGGUUAACCAGAUAUAGGACUCCUCUGUCUUGCUACGAUGGACAGCCACAAGGAUUCACUUGAAUAAAAGAAGCAACAGUGGGUGCCAGGCUGUUUGUGCUGUGGAUUGAAUGGCGGGCCUUGCACAGAAAUGUGCUGUUUUGUUAUACAUUUAUUACAAAGAAUCUCACAAAAAGAAAAUAUUUCAAAAAGAAUGCCAGGCUAAAGAACCUCCACCUGGAGAACUGGGGGAAGGCAGGGCAAUGUAAGUUCUUCUGCCUGCCCAAGACCUGUGGAAGAUAUAAACAGAACCAGUCUAAAAAUGGCUGAUAUUACCCAAGCCUGAAAAGGGCUCACAGAACACCAAGUCACCCCUGCUAGAAAGCUUAAUCAGGGCAUCUUAACAGAGCUCCUAAGCAGGCUUGGCAGUUCAGGAUUUUGUCUUCUGGUUGUUUUCUUUUCCACUUAGAAUAUCAACGUCAACAUACAGCACCCUCUGGCCAUACUUUAGCAGUUCCAGGAUGGCCAAGACGACAUCGUUGAUGUAACAGAAACCUGAGGCGUCAGACUUCUUUACAUGAUGCAGUCCCCCAGCCUGGCUCGCAGUGAUGUCCCUCUGAUGUGUAUCAAGUUUCACAGCACUUUCCAAAGAGCCACCAAUAGACAACUGACAACUCAGACAGGCCAUCGAUUACCGGGAAGUCCUCACCAACGCGGAAUCUCUGCAUCUGCUUGCUGUAUUUAGACACAUUAUCUGGGCGAAUAGAGCACAAGAGUUUAAUGUAGUCAUCACUGUGGGACUUGGUCAUCUCCUCAGCGUUGGCUCUGUGAGGACGAUAGAUUUCCAUUUUUUGGUAGAGAUGUAGUUGAGCUGCAAAUCACGAGUCAUGUGGAUUCGGUGAGGCUUCAUUGGGUGGCCCUGUCCAUAAGAUAGUUUCCAACAUCCCUGUUAACAGACGUUCCUCUUGCCCUGAGUCUGUGCCAUCUUUCUCACCACCCAGUGCUCCUGCCAGUCUGAUGUUUUAAUAUUUUUAGAUGGUGAUGCUUUGAGUUUAAAUGGCCUUUGACAAAUUCUAUCCUAAUUUCUAAUUAAGACAAGGAAAGAAAACAAAGAUGGAUAAGGACCAUAAAGUAAUGAAUGGACUGGAAACAGAAGUAAACUUAUUCAACAAUAAAA
rnacentral:lncRNA from 1 species